UACGUAGGAUCCGAGCGUUGUCCGGAUUUACUGGGUGUAAAGGGCGUGUAGGUGGGCCUUUAAGUCGAUGGUGAAAUCCUGCAGCUUAACUGCAGAAUUGCUCUCGAAACUGGAGGUCUUGAGUGCGGCAGAGGGAGAUGGAAUUCAUGGUGUAGCGGUGAAAUGUGUAGAUAUCAUGAAGAACACCGGUAGCGAAGGCGAUCUCCUGGUCCGCAACUGACACUGAGGCGCGAAAGCGUGGGGAG
rnacentral:rRNA from 1 species